rnacentral:lncRNA from 1 species
CAGUAACACCCAGUGAGUGCUGCAAGGGAAACACUUUUUGGAUCAGUUUUCUCCCUUUGUUUUGUAAUUGCAGAGCCUGAGGCAUCUGGCAGAUCCCGAGUGCAGUGACAGGAACCAGGGCAACAAGCAGAGCCAGAACCCAGCAGUGAACCACAGCCAGAGUGACUGGUGCAAAGCAGCUGGUCUGACAGCAGCUUUUACUCUCAGGAAACGCUGGGGGGUUUUCAUUGAUUUCACUGGUCUCUGCAUUUGGAUUAAGAACAAACACAGACUUUAGAGCUGCCCUUACAGGGAACUAUUCCCCCCCUAGAAUAAAACAGUGAAUGUAGAUGAACAGCACCAUGGAGCCUCACUGCGCUGCAGUGGCACCUGAGCGGGCACCUGGGGUUGCUGCCAGUUACAUAAAUGCAAAUCCUCAUUAAGCAGAGCAAGGGAGACAUUUCCACCUAACUUUAAUUAGUUUGAAUGGCAGGGAAAAAAAUAGAACCAAUUAAGUACUAAUGGAACAGUUGCCCUAUUUCAGAAGGUGGUGAUCUGUUUUUUAAUAGAUAAACAAUAAAGGUAAAGUUUAUCCUCCAUAGGGAAUCACAGUGCGUAUGGGAGAGGCACAAUUCAGUAUCUUAUAGAAAAAGAAGCAAAGUCCUGUUUGAAGUUUGGUUUAGAAUAUGUGACACAAACUUCAGCCCAGGUGUAACUAAAGACCAGCACCUGUCUUAUAUCCAGUGCCCCCAGUGCCCCGCACAGCUGCCUGCAAUCAGCCUUAAGGAAGCGCUGGAGCAGCAGCCAUAAAGCCGGGCCCAGGCAGGCUGCCCUUAGGGCUGCAGGGAGGUUCUGCUCUUAGGGGAGGUGCGCUUUCAGGAGGAGUGUGGUCAGAGCUGGUGCCAGCUGUGGGAGCUCUGGGAGCACCUCGUGCAGUUGUAUGUUCCUGGAGGGAGGCUUUCCUGCCAGAAACAGGCAGACCCAGGUGUUGGGAAGCGUGGAGUCUUGGAGCUGAGCCCUGGGGGAGCUGCGCUGUGGUGGGGGCUGUGCUGGUAAUGUCAUGACCCUGUUCUCAUCAGGGCACAGAGCUGCAGUGCUCACACAUGGGCAUGGCUGGGUUCAAGGGCCCGCAGAGCUGCUGGAACAGGCUUGGAGUGCGGGACUGAUCCUGGGGAAGCUCUGAACUUUGGUGCCUGUGCCUCAAGAAAGGAGCGUUAUCUGUGGGUUACGGAGAUGACGUGUUUAAAUAGACAUUCUGUCUUCUUAGUUCUUGGCAGCCUCUCCCCAUUUCUCUACAUGUUUAUAUCUGGACACA